CACCCCUGGGUUCCAUUCUACACAAACUUGUGUGAUAACCUAGCAAACUGGAGCUUUCUAGGUACCUCAAUUCAAGUUAGUACAUGUAAUUUGUAUGUGUAUGUUAUAAUUACAUGUAUGCAUUGCAAAUGAGUGUCAACAUGUCAUUACAUUUUACAGUGAUAGAAGACAGAUGGAAGUGUCUUGUAGAAAAAUUUGGGGGUCUCUGGUACCUGUCCCACACUGAAAGUUUUCCCACCAAAAAUAGCCAAUUAAAAAUCUCGUCCAAAUUUGGGAGCUCAUAUUUCCCAAACUCGUGAAAUGUGAGGCUACGCUGCAAAUACCCUACCCUUAUUUUGAAAAACCAACACCGGAACACCGGAGUCACUGCCUGGCACCUGCCUGUCUAACUGCUGCGUGCGAAAUGCGAAGAGAGUAGAGACAACAGUCCCACGUGGAGGGAGAGAAAAGGGUGAAAGAAAGGUACCUAAACGAGGCUGUAUUUGAUACAGUUUUUUUCAAACCAGUGAAAACGAAAUAUAGAUGGAUUAGGCUACGGAAAAAAUCCUGAGUCGUGAUAAAUGUGUUAUUCAUUGUUUACUACAGCAGGGCUGUACAGUGCAGCGUUUCACUCGCAUGUGCGCCUAAAAAUAGAUCGGUGCCAGUAGAAAAAAUAAAAAGGGAGCGCGCGUGCGAAUACAGAUGUCAACCCUAUCAUUUGCAUUUGCUCCUAAAAUAAAUCCAUACAAAGUGGAUCAAACUAAAAGUCAUAGCCUACUCCUUCUUCUUCAGCAACUUUUUUUCACAUCAGCGCUACAACAGGACAUGGUCAGAAAAACGGUGAGCUCCUCUGACAGUACCUAGCAUCACACAGAUCGCCGCACUUUCUUAAAGCGACAGGCUCCUAUUUUUGUCUUUAGCUUUUAUGAACACAUUAACUUGAAAUAACCAAAUACUGUGUCUGUCUAAAUUAUAAUAAUGCAAAUGACACUAAAUUGAGCAUGUAAAACAGUUUAGAUACUAUAAAGUAAUAACUGAACUAAAAUUGUCAUCAGUUAACACAAUCUAUGCAUUCUGCACCUAUAAUCAGACUCCCCUAAGAAUGCAAGAUAUGGCAUCAAAAUAUGUCUGGUAUUUAUGUAUAAAGUCUUUAAUCUAAGUAUAGUUCUUAAGUAUAAAGUCAUUAUUGUUUUUUAUUUUUAUUGGGCCAGUUAACAAUAUAUAAUAGAAUUGAAAUUCUUUAAUCCCACACCUGGGAAAUUAUUUGCUACAAAAGCUAAAACACCAAAUCACAAGUUUAAAAAAAUAAACCUAGUAAAUUACAGUCUGUAAGAACAGAAUAAUACAUAAGGGGCUAAAUGAUCACAGUAUGGCAGAGAACAGAGAGACUAUUUCAAAACUAGGACUUUAACAGAAAUAUGCAGGUUGAGUUAACUGUGCAGAUUGUAUGAUAUGAAAUAAAAUCUGGAGUCAGAUUGUGUUGGGCCACUUAACAAAAUCUGACUCCACUACUAUUUUGGCAAUGCAAGAAGUGACAACCUCCAAACUUUCUCAGCUACAACAUCUGCACCUCUGCUGCUGUUGUAUAAUGUCUUGUGUACAUGGUGGCUUCCACUGAGUUUUUUCAGGGUAUCCGCGGGGUCUUAAAAAGUCUAAAAAAGUCUUAAAUCUAAUAAUUUGAAUUUAAGGCCUUAAAAUGUCUAAAAUUCUCCUAAAAUCUUAUAAAAGGUCUUAAAUACGAUUUUGAAAGGUCUUAAAAAAUCUAUUGAUGUUACUUAUAUGUAAAACAUGCAUAAACUUCAGUCUCGCUUUGAAAUGUUUCGAUUUUUGAGGACGCAGCGGAAAUAAAUGUAGGCUACCUGUACUGCCCGGUCACAAUUUAUCGAACACCACCAGCCAUUGCUGUGCACGGCACGCUCAGCGGUGUUGAUAGCUUGUUAGCAUAGCAGCAGAGAAAACUUAUGAGAAAACCGAAUUACAGUACUUGCAUACAUGGGUAAAUGCAAGUUUAACGAUUUGUGGCUUCAGGACGAGCAGUUCAAUGCCUGGUUGAAGCUGGUGGAGGGAAACGCAUAUGAGGCAUACUGCGCUUUAUGCAAGAAAACUUUAAAACUUGGAACAUUGGGCAUCAAGGCAUUGGAAUCCCAUUACAGAUCGGAAAAACACAAGGCGGUUAUAAAAUGCCAGCAGCGAACGCUGUCAAUCAGCCACUAUUGCUCCACAUCAGGAGCUGGAGCAUCGAGGUCCACCGAGACCCAGUCUGCUUCAACUCCUGUCGACCUCCGGACAGCGUUUGGGUCUACACCGACACUAAAAGCGGAGGUGCUAUGGACUUUUCAUACGGUAACCAAGCACCAGUCAUAUACUGGUAAUGAGAACAUUGAUGAGCUGUUCCAGACUAUGUUCCCGGAUUCAGAGAUAGCAAAAUCGUUUAAGUUUGGAAAAGACGAGAUGGCGUACAUAACGCGAUUUGGAUUAGCCGACUACAUCAAGAGAGACCUCAUCUCCAAAGUUAAGGGCCUGUUCGUGCUGAUGUUUGAUGAAAGCCUGAAUCAAACAAACAAGACCAAGCAGUUGGACCUGCACGUGCGUUUUUGGGAAGGUGAGCGGGUCCAGUCAAGGUACCUGGGGUCCCAGUUUAUGGGGCAUGCAACGGCGUAGGACUUACUGAAACAUGUCAAGGAGUGUGUGGACCAGCUUAACCUCAGGAGCCUAGUGUCCAUCUCCAUGGAUGGGCCCAAUGUAAAUUUCAAGUUUUUGGAACUUUUCCAACAAGAGUAUGCAGAACUGAAUGGAGGUGCUCAGCUUGUUUCCGUGGGCAGCUCUGGACUGCACACAUUGCAUAAUGCUUUUAAAAGUGGAUUCACCAUGUGGCAGCUGGACAAACUUUUGAGAGCUAUGCACAUCCUUUUCCACAACGUACCAGCAAGGAGAGUAGAUUACAGCGCUGUCACAAAAUCCACCAUCUUCCCCUUACCAUUUUGUGGUCAUCGGUGGAUAGAGAACUUGCCUGUGGUAGAGAGGGCUAUUGAAGUCUGGCCAUCACUUGAGCAGUAUAUGGAUGCAGUGAGAAGAAAGAAACUCCCAAACCCGGGGACAGCAUCCUUUGACACAAUUGAAGCAGCCCUGAAAGAUCCACUCAUCUUGGCCAAGUUAGAGUUCUACAUGACUGUUGCCAGGACAUUCAAUCCCUUUUUGAAGAGGUAUCAAACAGAUGAGCCAGUGAUGCCUUUCUUCAGCAAAGACUUGGCUGAACUGAUCAAGGGUCUACUCAGGCGCUUUGUCAAGCGAGAGGUCCUGCAAGACAUCAGCACACUGCAGCUAACCAAACUAGAUCUAGCUGAUAAAAAAACUGGCACCAGCCAAAGCACAUCGACAUCGGCUUGGGUGCUGAGUCAGCCCUCAAGGUAGUAUGAUCAUUUAGAAAGAUAAUUUUAUAAAUUGAAGUCAGGAUGCAAGUAGCACAUAUCAUUUUAUGAUAAAUACUAUUUACAGCUUAUUCCCCUUUUCAGAGCAGCAACAGUUCAGAACUCAGAGUCCUUCAAUUUAGAAUGGACUGUAUGCAGGGACUGUCAAACAUCGUCAGUAAAGUGCAGGAGAAGAGCCCCCUGAAGUAUCCAACAGUUAGGCACAUGGUGUGUCUCUGCCUCUGCCAUUUUCAAAGAUCCAGACAGGUGCAAGAGGCAGAUGAAAUGUCUUGUUCAGACAUUUCUGCAAGACAAACAGGUGACAGGAGGUGUUUCUGCUGGUAGGAAUAGUUCUGGAAAUUUAGUUCUUGUUUUAAACAAAAGUAAGAUGCUGGCACUAGCAUAGUGAACAGUAAAUAGUCUGUGUGUCACAGCCAGACUUUUUUGCUACACUUUAAAUUGACAGGUAAUUUAUUAGUAACAGGCCAAUCAUAGACAU